rnacentral:misc_RNA from 1 species
GAUGAAGAACGUAGCGAAAUGCGAUAAGUAAUGUGAAUUGCAGAAUUCAGUGAAUCAUCGAAUCUUUGAACGCACAUUGCGCCCCCCAGUAUUCUGGCGGGCAUGCCUGUUCGAGCGUAAUUUCAACCAUCAAGCCCUGCUUGUGUUGGGGUCCUGCGGCUGCCCGCAGGCCCUGAAAACCAGUGGCGGGCUCGCUAGUCACACCGAGCGCAGUAGCACAUCUCGCUCAGGGCGUGCGGCGGGCUCCAGCCGUUAAAGCACCCACCUUUCGCAAGGUUGACCUCGGAUCAGGUAGGAAUACCCGCUGAACUUAAGCAUAUCAAUAAGCGGAGGA